GAAAAAUUGUUUUCUACAAAAAUAGCAAUUUGUUAAGCAGCGAAGCGCGCGGACAUAGUAGUCGUGUAAAUAAAUACGCGUCGGGGGCGUGUUCGAGGCCGAAACAUCGAAAGUGAAAAAUAAAAUCCCGCAGCAUCAAAAGUACUAAGUGAAGUGGAGGUUGGCAAAUUGGAAAGAAAAGCCUGGCAGCAAAUUAAAACAGUGCCAACGAGCAGUAUUGAUUAUUGCAUCAAGAACAGCUUCAAUAACGACACCAGCAGCAGCACCAAACAGCAGCAGCACCAAACAGCAGCAGCGAAAUAAGCAGCGGGAACUACAGCAGAAGCGACAUUAGCAGCGGCAACAAUACCAGCGGACACAGUGACAUCAGCAGCGGCAACAGCGUCAGUAGCGGUAACAACAGAAGUGUCAACAGUGACAUCAGUAGCGGUGGAAAAAAGCACAGCAGCGGCAGCACCAGAAAGAAGCGGCAGCGGCAGCAGUAUCAUAAACAGCAGAAGAAGAUUCCUCAGUUAAUUUGAACUUAAGAAAGUAAAAGAUGUUGUCGGAAAAAAGUAUUCAAUUGUUAGGCACAGAUAAGAAGGAUUGAAGCUGGCCAUUUGACCAGUGUCGUAAUCCAAAGGCUAGGAGAGCUAAAAAUGAGUUUACAGCUAAUCAUGCUACUUACAUCACCUAUGCUGUAGUCGAUCAUGACUACUUUACGAAAAAUAAAUUUGAAAAAAUUGUA